UAUAGCCUGUUUUACAGCGAGAAAAAACAAUGGAUAUCCGGAUGUGGUACUUAAACACUCCUGUCAUGUAUGAGAUUAACUCAAAUAUUGUAUCUCAUUAAAAGACACUGUUGACUUGUGGCCUAAAUACACUUCAAUGGACCUGUACACACUGAUCCUCAGUGUUGGGUUAAUUACUAAAAACCAGUAACCAGUUACAGUUACUACUUACUUUAUUUUAAAAGUAACUCUGUUACUUACACCAUUAAGAAAUGCGUUACUGUGAAAAGUAACUAUAGUUACUUCUUUAUUUCUUCUUCUUUUUUGAAGCUCCCAUUAAUGCCCCUUUUUCCUUCAUUUCAGUGUUGUUAUUGCACCGGAGAAUAAUAGAAUCUGUUGAUCAACUUGACAUGCAUUUGCAUCAAUGAACUCUGCUAAGCCAUUUGGUCUACAUACAACACAGAGACAAAGAUAUGUUUCAAAGGGCCAAUUUAUUUCAGGCCAGAACAAAUUAACAAAACUAUUUUGAAUAGCUGCAACAUAAGAUACAUAAUUAACAAACAGCAUAAUAACAACAUAGCUGUAAACCUGGCUUCACCCAAAAAAGGCACACAUGACAUGAUUAUAUGUCAUGUCACUAUAUGCACACACCUAAUCAGGUAUUUUUUUCUCUUAAGGAAUUCGGAAAUAAAAUCAUGUCUUUAGGCGAUCAACACUGUACUUGAUGCCCAGAACAUUCUACGCAUUUCCCCCGUUUUAGUUUAGAGAUAAGGAAAGAUUGGCCUGGCCCACUAGCAUCCCUCUUGAUGUUUGUGAACUUUAUGGUAUAUGCAUUUAGAGUGAUGUGAUAAUCAAACACUCUAAAAGUCUAGAAUGAAUGAGUAUAUAAGAGAAUUGACAGAGUGUCUGUACCUACAAUUAUGAAUGAUGAGCAGAGGCAGAGUUUGGAGUUUUUUCUUUAGCUCGCUUUCCAUGUUUAUGUACUCAUGUCCGCUGUGUCCAGGUAUGUGGAAAAUGUUGUCCGUGCCGUUUUCUGUUUGACACUGGCAUCGUGCUAAUUAGCUGCCUGAACUCGGGUGAACCCGCUGUAGAAAUAGCCUGUGUGUCUUCUAUCACAUACGCUGCAAUGGCUCAAUCCAUAUUGUCCUGGCUAGCAGUGCCUCCAUUAAAGGGGAACAUUAUCACAAUUUCAGAAGGGUUAAAACCAAUAAAAAUCAGUUCCCAGUGGCUUAUUUUAUUUUUCGACGUUUUUUUCAAAAUGUUACCCAUCAUGGACUAUCCCGAAAAAAGGCUAUAAGUGCCUGAUUUUCGCUAUCUUUAAAUCCAUCGUCCAUUUUCCUGUGACGUCAUUUAGUGAUGCCAACAUGGCGGAUAGCACAGCAAGUUAUAGCGACAUUAGCUCGGAUUCAGACUCGGAUUUCAGCGGCUUAAGCGAUUCAACAGAUUACGCAUGUAUUGAAACGGAUGGUUGGAGUAUGGAGGCAGAUAGCGAAAACUAAAUUGAAGAAGAAACUAAAGCUAUUGAGCGAAUAGCUAUUGACGCUAUUCGGCGAUCGCCUUCGAUUGAGUGUCGCAGGAUGUCCAUACAUCUCUGUGCCAUGUGUGCCUUAGCAUUGCCGGUAAAAUGUGCAGACCAAACGAUCGGGACUUUCGCAUCUUGUGACACUGGAGCAACUUAAAUAUGUCGAUUGGUAAGUGUUUGUUUGGCAUUAAAUGUGGGUGGAAAGAAAGGCUGGAUGUAAAUAUAGCUACAAAUGUACAUACAGCUAGCCUAAAUAGCAUGUUAGCAUCGAUUAGCAUGCCGUGCUAAUCGAAGCACACGCCACGUAAGUCAACUUGAAUCCGUCCCUGAUCGUGUUGUUACACCCGCCGACAACACACCGAUGAGGCAUGAUGUCUCCAAGGUACGGAAAACAGUCGAAAAAACGGAAAAUAACACAGCUGAUUAGACUCGGUGUUUGUAAUGUGUUUGAGAAAAUGGCGGACUGACUACCUAGGUGACGUCACGUUGUGACAACAUCGCUCUGAGAGCGAAUAAUAGAAAGGCGUUUCAUUCGCCAAAAUUCACCCAUUUAGUUUAGGAAAUCGGUUUAAAAAUAUAUGGUCUUUUUUUCUGCGACAUCAAAGUAUAUUUUGACGCUUACAUAGGUCUGGUGAUAAUGUUCCCCUUUAAAAUCCUUAAGUGGAGGUGAAGUGGCAUCGGAGUCUGUGUCUGUCUUUACUAGCUUCAUUGAAGCCUGUUGCUUUUGUAGCUGUUUCAGCGGAUUUGAAUUGCUGUUUUGGGCAGUAGAUGGGAUCUUUGAUCCAAGACACAUUUAACUUACGUAUAACUAAAAUGUUCUUUUCUUUGUGCUCGACAAAAUAAAAGUAGUGAGAAUAUCCCCAUGUUAAGAAACUGGACUCCGGCUCCGCCAUGAUGUCCUGUUAGUAAACACAGACACGCCACGCUCCCACCACCCUACCCUGCCCACAUCCACACACAGCGCGCUUCUCUCUUCUCCCGCCUGCGACACAAGAAAAAUCAGAAGGACCAGACUGCCGCACUCCAAAAAAAACACACUCAGAUCUUCUGUUUCUAGCCGACACGACAUAAAAAAUAACGUAAAAUAACGCAGUAACGCAUCAUGUCGUAACAGUAACUAAGUUACCGAAUACAAAAAAUAGCGCGUUAGACUACGAGUUACCGCCGAAAAUAACGCUGUUGUAACGCGUUAGUCCCAACACUGCUGAUUUUUCAUUAUUUGUGUUCUGAUUUUCCUAUCCCUAACCCUAACAUGUAGUUAUAACAGUUCCUCAAUGGUGCUUCACACUUAGAUUUCAGUUGGUUGGUUGAAAAAAAAAAAAAAGAUUGAUGCUAAUUUGAUAAGAGUGUUCAAAGAUGCAUAUGCAGUAGUAUUUCGACUUACAUUGGUUCUAUGACGGAACUCUUAACUCAAAAGGGUUGUAUCUCAAAUCAACGUCUUCCAUUGAAAUGAAUUCAGUUGGUGUUUACUCUCCACCCCCAAAAAGCAUAAUUUAAACAUGUAACAUGCCUUUUAAAAAGAAAAACCUGAAGACAACAAAUAUUGCAUAAACACUAAUUACUGCUCUAGUUUUAUAAAGUAAUGUAAUGUACCUUGGAGAGUGAACUAAUUUCAGAUGCUUCUCUGUCACACACACCAUCAGCAGCUUUUCCAUAUUUUCAUGGAUGUUAUUAGAUAUUAUUUCCAGUCACAGAUAGUUUCCAGUCACAUUUGUUACACUAACUAAUUGUGGGGAAGUUUGUAACUGAAAUUGACAAAUUGUUUGCAACUUAAAUCAUAACAAUUACCCAAGCUCUUAUCUUAAAACACUCACAUUCUGAUUCUUAAUUAAGGGAUUCUAAGCUAAGAAACCACUGAAGUUACAUAUCAAUAGAAAAAGCUAAUUUUUAAGUGGUAUUACCACUGAACACAAGUAUAAAUGAAAAACGUUUGUUUUUGCUUCCAUUUUUCAUGAGUUGGACUCAAAGAUCUAAAACUUUUAUUUUUAAACAAAAUACCUAUUCCUCUUAAAUAUUGUUCACAAAACUGUCUAAAACUGUGUUAGUGAGCAUUUCUUAAAUGAUGAUUAUUGCACUAGUGUGCCUUAGGCCAGUGGUUCUCAACCUUUAUUCAGUGAUGUACCCCCUGUGAACAUUUUUUUAACUCAAGUACCCUCUAAUCAGAGCAAAGCAUUUUUGGUUGAAAAAAAGAGAUGAAGAAGUAAAAUACAGCACUGUCAUCAGUUUCUUCCAUCCAUCCAUUUUCUACCGCUUAUUCCCUUCUGAUUUAUUAAAUUGUGUAACAGUGCAAAAUAUUGCUCAUUUGUAGUGGUCUUUCUUGAACUAUUCGGGGAAAAAAAUAUAUAAAAAUAACUGGAAACUUGUUGAAAAAUAAACAAGUGAUUCAAUUAUAAAUGAAGAUUUCUACACAGAAGUAAUCAUCAACUUAAGGUGCCCUCUUUGGGGAUUGUAAUAGAUAUCCAUCUGGAUUCAUGAACUUAAUUCUAUACUUUUUUUCACACAAAAAAUAAAUCUUUAACAUCAAUAUUUAUGGAACAUGUCCACAAAAAAUCUAGCUGUCAACACUGAAUAUCGCAUUGUUGUAUUUUUUUUUUCACAGUUUAUGAACUUACAUUCAUAUUUUGUUGAAGUAUUAUUUUAUAAAUAUAUUUAUAAAGGACUUUUUAAUUGUUGCUAUUUUUAGAAUAUAUUUUUUUUAAUUUCACGUACCCCUUGGCAUACCUUCAAGUACUCCCAGGGGUUCGCGUACCCCUAUUUGAGAACCACUGCCUUAGGCUGUCCACAUUUAAGGUAAGUUGUGAGUUCAGACCCCGGCCGGGUCAUACCAAAGACUAUAAAAUGGGACCCAUUGCCUCCCUGCUUGGCACUCAGCAUCAAGGGUUGAGGUAUGGGGUUAAAUCACCAUAAAUGAUUCCCGGGCAUGGCACCGCUGCUUCCCACUGCUCCCCUCACUUCCCAGGGGGUGAUCAAGGGGAUGGGUCAAAUGCACAGGACAAAUUUCACCACACCUAGUGUAUGUGUGACAAUCAUUGGUACUUUAACUUAAUUUAAAAGGCCACUCUGAAAUGUGCAGUUUUAUCACACAGCACAAUGCCACAGAUGUUGCAAGUUUUGAGGGAGCGUGCAGUUGGCAUGCUGACUGCUGGAAUGUUGACGGGAGCUGUUGUCCUUAAAUUGAAUGUUAAUUUAUCUUCCAAAAGUCGUCUCGAAAUGUGAUUCAGAGCAUUUGGCAGUACAUCCAACCGGCCUCACAACUGCAGACCACCUGUAACAACACCAGCCCAGGACCUCCACAUCCGGGAGGUGCACCUCCAUUAUCAUCUGAGACCAGCCAUCCUGACAGCUGCUGCAACAAGUGGGUCUCGACCUGACUGCAGUUUGUCAUCGUAACUGACUUAAGUGGGCAAAUGCUCACAUUUGAUGGUGUGGGGCACAUUGGAGAUGUGUUCUCUUCACGAAGGAAUCCUGGUCUUCACUGUACUGGGCAGAUGACAGAGAGCGCCAUGUGGGAGAACGGUUUGCUGAUGUCAACAUUGUGAAUCGAGUGGCCCAAAGAGGGUUGGGGGUUAUGAGAUACCGUGUUGAGAUCCUGAAGCCCAAUGUUGUGCCAUUCACCCGAGACCACCGCCUCAUGUUGCAGCAUAACAAUGCACGGCCCCAUGUUACAAGAAUCUCUACACACUUCCUGGGAGCUGAAAACAUCUUAGUUCUUGCAUGGCCAGCAUACUCACUGGACAUGUCACCCAUUGAGCAUGUUUGGGAUCCUGGGAAUCAGCGUGUUACAGUUCCUGCCAAUAUCCAGCAACUUCCCACAGCCAUUGAAGAGGAGUGGACCAACUUUCCACAGGCCACAAUCAAUAACCUGAUCAACUCUAUGCAAAGGAGAUGUGUUGCACUGCGUGAGGAAAAUGGUGGUCACACCCGAUACUCACUGCUUUUCUGACCCCCCCAGACACCCAAUAAAGCACUGCACAUUUCAGUGUGGCCUUUUAUUGUGGGCUGCCUAAGGCUGCAAUAAUCACGCUGUUUAAUCAGCAU